GGAAGAAUCUGGAGACAGGUGGCUGCAUGGCUGUCGUCAGCUCGUGUCGUGAGAUGUUGGUUAAGUCCCGCAACGAGCGCAACCCUUGCCUUUAGUUGCCAGCAGUUCGGCUGGGCACUCUAAAGGGACUGCCGGUGUUAAACCGGAGGAAGGUGGGGAUGACGUCAAGUCCUCAUGGCCUUUAUGACCAGGGCUACACACGUACUACAAUGGCCGAUACAAAGGGCAGCGACACUGCGAGGUGAAGCCAAUCCCGUAAAAUCGGUCUCAGUCCGGAUUGGAGUCUGCAACUCGACUCCAUGAAGUUGGAAUCGCUAGUAAUCGUGGAUCAGCAUGCCACGGUGAAUACGUUCCCGGGCCUU
rnacentral:rRNA from 1 species